rnacentral:rRNA from 1 species
CUGCUGCCUUCCGUAGGAGUCUGGGCCGUGUCUCAGUCCCAGUGUGGGGGGCCUUCCUCUCAGAACCCCUACGCAUCGUCGCCACGGUGAGCCGUCACCCCGCCGUCUAGCUAAUGCGCCGCAUGCCCAUCCGCCACCGGAUCGCUCCUUUGGCCACCGGAGGAUGCCCUCCGGUGGCGUCACGGGGUAUUAGGCCGCGUUUCCGCGGGUUAUCCCCCUGUGGCGGCCAGGUUGCAUACGUGUUACUCACCCGUGCGCCGGUCG